AUACGUAGGGUGCGAGCGUUGUCCGGAAUUACUGGGCGUAAAGAGCUCGUAGGUGGUUUGUCGCGUCGUCUGUGAAAUUCCGGGGCUUAACUCCGGGCGUGCAGGCGAUCCGGGCAUAACUUGAGUACUGUAGGGGAGACGGGAAUUCCUGGAGUAGCGGUGAACUGCGCAGAUAUCAGGAGGAACACCGGUGGCGAAGGCGGGUCUCUGGGCAGUAACUGACGCUGAGGAGCGAAAGCAUGGGUAGCGAACAGGAUUAGAUACCCUGGUAGUCCAUGCCGUAAACGGUGGGCGCUAGGUGUAGGGGUCUUCCACGACUUCUGUGCCGUAGCUAACGCAUUAAGCGCCCCGCCUGGAGAGUACGGCCGCAAGGCUAAAACUCAAAUGAAUUGACGGGG
rnacentral:rRNA from 1 species